CGUUCCGAACGGCACGAGCGCGCGAGGCGCGUGACCCGAGGUGUGGUCGAGGCAGAAGCGAGGCUGAGCUGGCAUUAUCGACGUGUCUCUGGGCCGAGAAGGUCGCAUCGUCAGCUACGCUCUGGCGACGGGAGACUUGGAGGUUCGGCCGAGUCCGUGACGCGGGCAGUCCGAGGUGCAGCCGUCGACCUCGGAGACGUUCGAGCGAGGCUACUUGGACCAGGGGCAGCAUCACACGGCAGGCCGGGCACUCCAGAAAGGCUUCCCCUUCAUCGGCAGACCAGCGCGUUCGAUGAUCGUCGGAACGCCACGUCGGCACUUGAGAAAGGAGCUGGACGAAAGCAACGGCCGAGAACGUCGUUAGGCCUAAUCCGCCAGGCGCCUCUGCCACGUCAGCAUCUGCGAUCGGGUUAUAUGCGUCCACCAAGGCGACGACAUCGUCAAGAUUGCCGGGAGCAACGACUCCGAAAGAGACUUGGACGAAGAGAGCCCCAUGAGUCAGCGUCAAGAAACAUAUCAUCCCCGGAGAACCCGGGAAUCUCGAGAGCCUAACCGACGUUCCUCUGCACCAUUGGGAUGAAGCGCCAUGAAAAAAAAUCCUUACUUGGACCUGCUGAAACAACUGAGGCAAACGAACCGGCUGUGCGGUUUUGGAUGUCCGAGUUUCGACACCGUGUUCCACUACAGCAACUAUGUUGUACCUGUUCAUCGGUCAACAGCCUGUCCCCUCUCACAUUUCGGUGGCCGACCGAGACGAAGGGGUGAUUUGCAUCCUACGAGUGCAUUGGCGAAGGGUGACGCCUACUGCUACAUUGAAUUCUGCUGUUACUUCGUGGGCAAAGUUGCAUCCAAAAAGCCGAGUCGACGCUGAGCAAAGGAGCCCAGACCUGUGGACGCCAACAUGACUGGCCUCAACUGUGCGAGAACAAUUUUUAACCACCGAGUGGACGCGCCGUUAGAGGAACGGCGUUGGCCAUCGGUCGCCUGCGACGACGUCAUGUGCUGAACAGCUGCAUAGUCACGGCUACUUCACUGCCACCAGGUCUAACUACUUACUCGGAGAGCCCGCGCCAGCCGACUAAUGUGGGCCAAGACACAGCGCCUUCGUAACAUCCUGUCUGUGGCCAUAUCGCAUUUUAUGGACACG